rnacentral:ncRNA from 1 species
GUUUCAGGGUAAGGUGUAAUUCCUAACCGGCGGUAAACCCCGCGAGCCAAAAGGCAGAUCUAGUGAGAUUCUAGAGGCGACAGUAAAGUCUGGAUGAAAGAAA